GAUGAACGCUGGCGGCGUGCCUAAUACAUGCAAGUCGAGCGAAGCGGGGACGGGUGAGUAACACGUGGAUAACCUCCUUUAAGACUGGGUUAACUUCGGGAAUCCGGAGCUAACCCGGAUACUUAGAGUUGGAUCCGCGCGGCAUUAGCUAGUUGGUAAGGUAUCGGCUUACAAAGGCAACGCGGCAUAGCCGACCUGCGAGGGGGAUAGGCCACACUGGGACUGAGACACGGACCAGACGCCUACGGGAGGCAGCAGGAGGGAAUCUUCCGCAAUGGACGAAAGCCUGACGGAGCAACGCCGCGUGAGUGAAGAAGGUUUUCGGAUCGUAAAACUCUGUUGUUAGGGAAGCGGUACCUAACCAGAAAGCCACGGCUAACUACGUGCCAGCAGCCGCGGUAAUUC
rnacentral:rRNA from 1 species